rfam:Camelus ferus unplaced genomic scaffold scaffold1056, whole genome shotgun sequence.
CAGUGUUGGUUGAUUUGAGAAUCUCUCAGUUCUUGGGACAAAAGUAUUAGUAAGUGUAGCAAAAUUGUCAAAGCUCAGAGCUACUCGUUAACUUUUAUACCAUAGGAUUUUUACCUGAUGUGCAUGUUUAAAGCAUCAAGGAAACUCAGCUUUUCCAAAAGAAUG